AACGAACGCUGGCGGCAUGCCUAACACAUGCAGGUCGAACGAGACCUUCGGGCCUAGUGGCGCACGGGUGCGUAACGCGUGGGAACCUGCCCUUAGGUUCGGAAUAACUCCCCGAAAGGGGUGCUAAUACCGGAUAGUGUCUUCCGACCAAAGAUUUUUCGCCUUUGGAUGGGCCCGCGUUGGAUUCGCUAGUUGGUAGGGUAAAAGCCUACCAAGGGGACGAUCCAUAGCUGGUCUGAUAGGAUGCUCAUCCCCACUGGGACUGAGACACGGCCCAGUCUCGUACGGGACGCAGCAGUGGGGAAUAUUGGACAAUGGGCGAAAGCCUGAUCCAGCAACGCCGGGUGAGUGGUGAAGGGCUUAGGGUUGUAAAGCUCUUUUAGCCGGGAUGAUAAUGACAGUACCGGGAGAAUAAGCACCGGCUAACUCCGUG
rnacentral:rRNA from 1 species